rnacentral:rRNA from 1 species
AGUGAACGCUGGCGGUAGGCCUAACACAUGCAAGUCGAACGGCAGCACAGUAAGAUCUUGCUCUUACUGGUUUCGAGUGGCGGACGGGUGGGGAAUACAUCGUAAUCUACUUUUUCGUGGGGGAUAUCGUAGGGAAACUUACGCUAAUACCGCAUACGACCUACGGUUGAAUUCAGGUAAUCUUCGGACCUUGCUCAAUUGAAUGAGCCGAUGUCUGAUUGGCUAGUUGUCGGGGUAAAGGCCCACCAAGGCGACGAUCCGUAGCUGGUCUGAGAGGAUGAUCAGCAACACUGGAACUGAGACACGGUCCAGACUCCUACGGGAGGCAGAAGUGGGGAAUAUUGGCCAAUGGGCGAAAACCUGCUCAAGACAUACCGCGUGGUUGAAGAAGGCUUUCGGGUUGUAAAGCCCUUUUGUAGGGAAAGACAAGCAGCAGGUUAAUAACCCGAUGCUCUGACGGUACCCAAAGAAUAAGCAACGGCUAACUUCGUG